CGAGGAGCUUGCUUCUCGGGCCGUGGUGUAGCCUCCCAAAUACCUUGGUUAAGAGAACAUCUGCCUGACCACAUCCUAGAGUUCAUGAACACGCCUUUACGUUACUGGAAACCACCUACUCCUGCACCCAACUCACUCCUCUCACCAACUGUCAGUCCAUUUUCGAAAUCCACUCACCCUCCUAAUACAGUCCGGACUGGAUUUUUUUAGUUUACAGUCUGUCACUCCUCACGUUUCCUCACCCCCAGCUUCAGCCUACACCCCACCGAGGUCAUCCGGGAAUCCGCCUAAAGGAAAGCGAGGAGUCUGGAGGUCGCGUCCCAGCGCCCAGACCUCGCCACCGUCCGUUGCGGUGGUUCCACCUCCAAGCGUCUUUUCCUCAGACAUCUGAGUGGGACGAUGACGCCGUCUUGGAGCGGGACGAUGACGCCGCCUCUGACAUCUUGGAGCGGGUCGACGCCGCCACCACAGCCUUCGCCUCUGAGCAGGUCGAUGCUGUCGACCCCGCCUUCGACUCCGCAGCAGCAGCUCCUGAGCGGGUCGAGGACGACGACUCCGAGUGGGUCGACACUACCUCUGACGCCGCCGCAGCUCCAGCGCGGGUUGAGGACGACGCCGCCUGUCUAGACGGCCUACAGACUGUCUACUCCGCAGCCGGUCCUCAGAGUGUCUCUUCGGCCGCCUCUCCAGCCGGGCCUUCAGCCUGUCUCAGCCGGGCCUUCAGCCUGUCUCCGCCGGUGCAGCCGGGCCUUCAGCCUGUCUCCGCCGGUGCCCCUCCAGACGGCCCUCCGAGUGUCUACGCCGCCGCCGGCCUUCCUCCAGUGGAAUCCUCUGGAUGCUGAUGCAGCUCCUGCCUGUUUUUUUUCCCCCUGUCUCCCUCUCUCGCUCCCAGCUGAUCGCCUGCUGCAGGACAGCUAAUUGUUUGAUGAGACUCAGCUGUGGAGCAAUCAGCAAACACUGUUCACCUGCCUUCCCUUUCUGUUUAAAUAUCCUCUGCUCCCCUCUUUGUGUGUGGGAGCAUCACAGUACAGACCGUCGCAUACACGGUUACCCCUUUCGCCUUCUGGUUUUCCCCCUACUCUGGAUUUUAGAAGAUCUUCCCCUUUUGGACCCUACUGCCUUUUGGACUACCUUGGUUUUUCUUUUAUGGACUCACCCCUUUUUUGGACUUUGACACUUUUGGACUUGUCUAAGCUGGUUCCUCCCUGAGAAGGAUUGCUCUGUUUUGUGAGGGAAGAUGUCCACGAGGCUGUCUUUGGCCACAGUGUCCACGAUGCCUUGGCUGUAGCGCAGCAUGGCCUCAAACUCUGGGUCGCCGCGGCAGUAGGAGGAGUUGAAGCAGAGCGAACAGAUGACGUUGGUGACGGCCCGAGUUAGCUCAGGGGACAGAUCCAGGGCCAGUCCCACAGCUGCUGCCUCGGACAGGACGGAGCACAGAGACUGGGCCUCUGCACAGACUGAGCAGGACACGGGCAACAGAGCAUCUUCACUUACCGACAUGUUCAUAGUAUUUACUUCACUUAUUUGUACAAUAUAUUAUGUAUGUUUUAAAGACGGGUGUCCAAAAGGUCUGGACACAAGAAAGUACAGAUUUAAUAUGAUUUUGUCCAAAGUAGAAAGAGUUGAACUUGCACUUUACAGGGGAUGUGAAGGAUGGAUGUAUGGAAAGAUAGCAGAUGAAUUUAAUCUUUCGACAAAGCCAUAUUUAAUUUGUGCAGGAAAAAAAAGUUAAUAUUUCCUAUGCGUCCAGACUUUAGGGACACCCUGUACAAUAUGUUAUCUUAUAUUAGCAAGCCUCAAUGUUGCAUUAAGUGGCACAAACACACACACACAUAUGUAUGUAUACAUAUAUAUGUAUGUGUGUGUGUGUGUAUGUAUACAUACACAUAAAUAGACUUAUUAUAGCCCCAAUUACCAGCUAACGCAUUGCUCAGAAUAGUCCAAGAUAAAUGCUAUUUCCUCCUGUCUGACAGUCUAGUCACUGAACAGCUACUGAGCUGGACACAGAACAUUACUAUAAAUUAUUCUGAAAGGUUUUCAUCUUCCAAAGGAAUCUGUGGGUUUGGAGCUGAGGCAGAGGAUGGAAGUCAGAAUACAGUGAUGGACACUAACAUCCUGUUAAUGUUGGUCUUUUCUUUGGCAUCACUUUAAGUAAUAAAGAUAUCUAAUAUUG